GGCCUGUUCGUAUAGUGGUUAGUACGUCGGUUUUUCAUACCGGAAACCCGAGUUCGAUUCUCGGAUGGGUCA